rnacentral:rRNA from 1 species
GACGAACGCUGGCGGCGUGCUUAACACAUGCAAGUCGAACGGAAAGGCCCUGCUUUUGUGGGGUGCUCGAGUGGCGAACGGGUGAGUAACACGUGAGUAACCUGCCCUUGACUUUGGGAUAACUUCAGGAAACUGGGGCUAAUACCGGAUAGGAGCUCCUGCUGCAUGGUGGGGGUUGGAAAGUUUCGGCGGUUGGGGAUGGACUCGCGGCUUAUCAGCUUGUUGGUGGGGUAGUGGCUUACCAAGGCUUUGACGGGUAGCCGGCCUGAGAGGGUGACCGGCGACAUUGGGACUGAGGUACGGCCCAGACUCCUACGGGAGGCAGCAGUGGGAAAUAUUGCACAAUGGGCGGAAGCCUGAUGCAGAAACGCCGCGUGCGGGAUGACGGCCUUCGGGUUGUAAACCGCUUUCGCCUGUGACGAAGCGUGAGUGACGGUAAUGUGUAAAGAAGCACCGGCUAACUACGUG